CAGGCCUCAGGACAGUAGCGGA
rnacentral:misc_RNA from 1 species